rnacentral:rRNA from 1 species
AGAGUUUGAUCAUGGCUCAGAACGAGCGUUGGCGGCGUGGAUUAGGCAUGCAAGUCGAGGGAAUCCCAGCAAUGGGGGGAACCGGCGUAAGGGGCAGUAAUGCGUGGGUACCUACCCCGGGGUUCGGCAUAGCCUCUCGAGAGAGAGGGUAAUUCCGGAUGACGUCGUGAGACCAAAGAUUUAUCGCCCUGGGAGGGGCCCACGUGAUAUUAGCUAGUUGGUGAGGUAACGGCUCACCAAGGCGAAGAUGUCUAGCGGGUGUGAGAGCACGACCCGCGCCACUGGCACUGAGACACUGGCCAGACACCUACGGGUGGCUGCAGUCGAGGAUCUUCGGCAAUGGGCGCAAGCCUGACCGAGCGACGCCGCGUGUGCGACGAAGGCCUUCGGGUUGUAAAGCACUGUCGAGGGGGAGAAAAGCCCGAAAGGGUUUGAUCUAUCCCUGGAGGAAGCACGGGCUAAGUUCGUGCCAGCAGCCGCGGUAAGACGAACCGUGCGAACGUUGUUCGGAAUCACUGGGCUUAAAGGGCGCGUAGGCGGGCUGCCAAGUCUGGGGUGAAAUCCCACGGCUCAACCGUGGAACGGCCUCGGAUACUGGCGGCCUCGAGGGAGGUAGGGGCAUGCGGAACUAUGCGUGGAGCGGUGAAAUGCGUUGAUAUGCAUAGGAACUCCGGUGGCGAAGGCGGCGUGCUGGACCUCUUCUGACGCUGAGGCGCGAAAGCCAGGGGAGCGAACGGGAUUAGAUACCCCGGUAGUCCUGGCCCUAAACGUUG